rnacentral:rRNA from 1 species
GUAGGUGGCAAGCGUUGUCCGGAAUUAUUGGGCGUAAAGCGCGCGCAGGCGGUUCUUUAAGUCUGAUGUGAAAGCCCACGGGCUCAACCGUGGAGGGUCAUUGGAAACUGGAGAACUUGAGUACAGAAGAGGAAAGCGGAAUUCCACGUGUAGCGGUGAAAUGCGUAGAGAUGUGGAGGAACACCAGUGGCGAAGGCGGCUUUCUGGUCUGUAACUGACGCUGAGGCGCGAAAGCGUGGGGGGGCAAACAGGAUUAGAUACCCUGGUAGUCCACGCCGUAAACGAUGAGUGCUAAGUGUUAGGGGGUUUCCGCCCCUUAGUGCUGCAGCUAACGCAUUAAGCACUCCGCCUGGGGAGUACGGCCGCAAAGGCUG